UACAGAGGUCCCGAGCGUUGUUCGGAUUCAUUGGGCGUAAAGGGUGCGUAGGCGGCGGGGGAAAGUCUGAUGUGAAAUCCUGGGGCUCGAACCCUGGAACUGCAUUGGAUACUUCCUUGCUAGAGUACUGGAGAGGAAACUGGAAUUUACGGUGUAGCAGUGAAAUGCGUAGAGAUCGUAAGGAAGACCAGUGGCGAAGGCGAGUUUCUGGACAGUUACUGACGCUGAGGCACGAAGGCCAGGGGAGCAAACGGG
rnacentral:rRNA from 1 species